rnacentral:lncRNA from 1 species
GCUUCAUUAGCUAGCCACAUUUAGUGAGAGAUAAAGGGUAGGAGAGAGAGAAGGAGCUGAAUCUUCUUGUUUGUUACUUGGUGAGUUCUUGGCCUUUUCCCUUCUCUUUCAAAUUUGAUAUUUUUUUUUCUUUAUGUGGGUAUAUAUGAAUGCAGAAAAAUACUGUUUUUACCAUUUGGGUACUUUUCAGUUCAUUCUGUAUUAUAUAUGUGUAUUAUGUAUGUUUCUAUUAUUUCUUUGAAUGAUAUUGUAUGGUUUUGCUAGACAUUUGACUUUGAAUUCAUGGGGUAGAAUCUACUUUACCAUUUCAUGCUUCUAGGGGUUUAAUUUUUUAUUUUUAUCCUGUUCCGGGAUGAAUUUUCUUGAUGUUUUAUUAGAUUGUGCAAUAUAGGGAGCUGAUUUGUUUAAUUUGGUGUAAUUAACGCUGUUACCCCCAUAUGUUUCUAUUUAAAUGAUGAUACUAAUGGAGUGGAAAGAAAAUGAUUUAUGAUGGGUACUUCUUUGAUGUGUUGUGCAAAAAUUACAAAUUUUAGGAUAUUGAUUUAGAUUGUUUAGAAGCCAAGUGGGUAGGGAAGCCAGUAUUAAAUAAUGAGCAAGACCUGAAUUAUUUAUUGAAUCUAAGAUGAAUCAGUAUUAGCCAUAGGAGAACAUAGUUCUGGUUAUUGCUUUCUGCUCACUUUAUUUAUUAUAUGUUGAGAUUAAUAGUUCAAAAUAAUAUGGGAGAAUAUAAUUGCCAUGUUUAACCCUAGGUUGGUCUACCAUGAUAUAAGUAGCUAUGUGUACUUGCUUAGAGGAAGACCUUUAUUUAGAACAUCCUCUGACUAUUUUAGGAUUCUAAACAUAGUAAGAGAAUUGUUGUUAUCUAAUUUAUUGUUUAAGAAGUCUGGACAAAUGUUAAAACAACUUUCAGACACGUCAUCAUUGUCCAUAGAGCUGCACGUUGGUCCCAUCAAAAUUGACAGUUUCUUGUGUUGUGUUGGGCCUGCAGAACAUUAGGGCAAGGCAUUAGGAGUGUCGAAUCUUCAUUAAGACUUUGGAGCUUGCUGCUAGACUGAAGUAAUGGAGGUAUAUGGAAAAUCUAUGGUUGCGGUGCCUACAAAUGUUAUUUAUCUGUCAAGUAUUCUAGGCCAAGAUGGGCCACACUCUGUUCACAAAUGCGACUGGAAAUGUGAAAACGAACAUGUGUGUGGAAACGUGUAUUGCUGCAGACUAACUGGACUCACUCACAUCUGUGACAAAAACUGUAACCAGAGAAUACUGUAUGAUAACCAUAGCUCCCUUUGCAGAGUGAGCAGGCAGGUUUUCCCUCUAACUCCGGCGGAGGAACAGGCUGUGAAAGGUGCCCAUAGGAAGCUUGAUGAUGAGAGUUCCCCUUCUGAUAUUUGCACUUUUAAGCGCAGACGGAGUGCGCAAUUUCAUCCCUCUCCUUUUGAGAGAUCCUUCUCUGCUGUUGGUCCAAUCUGCAGUCAAAUUGGAGAUGGCAUGGAUAUUAGCUAGACAUAAAAUUAACAUCGACAAACUCCUAUCCUCUUUCUUCUUUUUUCUUUCUUCUUUCUGAAUAUCUCUUUUUUCGGAAAGUAUGGAUAUUUGAACUUCAUUUGGGUACUUAAAUGGCGGAUGUGAUUGUCCUGCUCAUCUGUAGGAACAACUUAUAUUUGAAUCAGGAAUGUAUUGUAGAGCUUCAAAUACCAAACUAUCCGUAGGAGUUUGACAAUGGUAUAUUAAUAUUAUCUUCUAUUAUGUAGUCUGAGUUGCAUUCGAGCAGCUACAAAAUCUGAACUAUGAUAAUUACAGGGUGCUUUAGGUGUCUUGAUAGUUUCAGGGUUUGACCACUUGUUUGUGUUUUCAACUUUGUCGAACCACUGCAUUUGAUGAAUUGUUUUGACACUAGUUUAUUAUUUUAGAUAUAGUUUUUCCUUUAAAUUUGUUCAUUCAUUAUUUACUUCAUCUCCAUCUCAAUGGCAUAAUAGUUUUUAAUUGUGUUGUUGGCUCAUGCUUCAUUGGAUUUAGUUAGUUCAAAUGAUGAUCAUAACAUCUAGGAUAGGGUAGAAACUUUGUUCUCUUUAUUUUAUCUUGCCUGACUUUCCUACUGUUUUCCAGGUUUGAGAAGGACAAACCAGUUCAUCUUCUAUUUUUUGUUUUUAUCUUUUUUUUUUGUAUUUGUUUUUUCUCAAUCUUAUCUGGCUGCUCUAACAUUUGGUUCCUGAAAAUUAAUGUCAUUUUGCGGGGGUUGAUGUGCCACUCAGGAGAGCUGAAAAUAGCUUAUUGCAUUAAAAAUUAAUUAUUAUAUUCUGAAAGCUUAUUGGAAGCAUGAACUUUCUGACAAUUUUGAUCCUCUUUUUUUGCAGAACAUAUUUGGAUCUCCUUUGUUUUGCUGUGCAGACAUGGGACUCACCUUAUGAUGAUGAACAUUGGGAAAAUUGCACCAGCUGCAUAUUUUUUUCAGUUAAUGGCCUUUUUGAGUUUGUUUCAUAGCAUCUUUUCUGUGCCUGUUGAGCAAUGAGGAGAAACUAUAAUGCACAAACAGUUCCUUUCACCCUUUUUAUAAUUGUGUUAUUUCGUCCAGCUGUCACUGAUCUUAUGCAUUAAGUUUAAGCAGCACUUCCCUGUGCAUUAAUGCUAUUUAACUGCCUGAAUCGUGGUUACUGCUGCCAACUCAAUUUGGGUAACAGUUGCAGUGGUUCAGUGAAGGCGAGAACCCUUAUUAUUUCUGAUUCAAAUUUCUCAAGAGGAAAAGGUCACUAAAUUUAGUUUCCACCUUCAAUUUUAUCUUUCGCCAUGGCUGUUGGACAUCUUUGAAUAACAACAGAUUACAAGAACCUGCUCAAAUUUGUUACCUAAUACAGAUAUAUGGCUGGCUGCUUCAUGCCGUAAUCUGGUUCAGAGUUACUAUGCAGGUCUUUCAUCUAACACAAAUUAUCUGUGAGAAGUAUAUAGGGUCUUUCAUCUUUCUAAAGCAAUGAGCAUUACGAUUAGUGUAUUCUUCUGCCUUAGGUGGCACUUAAUGGAUAAAGCAGUAUAGACGAGUUCAGUUCGGGCUAAUCACAAUGUUGGUAUGAUCUAUUUAUACAUGUUCUGCAUUAUCAGAUUCUUAAUUGUAAUUAUGUUCUAAUUUUGAAUUGAACGAGGGUUUAUUGGUCUAGCUUUUCUAUCCAGCUUAAACAUUCUUCAAUAUGUACUUUAGCAUAUGACAUUAUUCUCAACUUUUGGAGCUAUAUAGCAAUGGAAAGAUGAAUGUUUUUGUGAAUAAUACUGCCAAAUAAAUCUUCAUUGGAUGAAUUUUCUCCUUGCUGAGAGAGGAAAUGAUUAUCUUUGUUGGAAGAGUCUGAGAUGAUUUGUAUGUCUUUUUGAAAUUGAAUUUAUGUUGUGAGUUGUGACUAUCUGGCUAGAUCUUGAUUAAACACCUCUAGCUCAAAGACGUUUUCAGACCAGACUUAUAACGUACUGCACCAACUUAGCAGCUUAUGGGACUUGUUCUAGUUGAAGUUAGGCGUGAUGUGCUUAGAUUUGUUGUUUAGUGAUUUGAUUUCAGAGAGGGAAUUGAUAUUUCCACAAGUAAAAGUUAGAGUUCCACAAGCUCCCUCUCACAUUAAAUGGGUCCCAUACUCGUGCGAUGGAAAUAUCAAAUUUUACUUGUGAAAAACAGUUCCCUUUAGAGAUUUUUCCUAUUAUUGAUUACAUAUUUAGGAAUUGUUUGACUUGUCAAAAAGAAGGAUUUUUUGAUGAAAAUAGUUGAAACUUACCUAUCAUGUAGUUUCGUUGUUGACUUAUAGCAACUUCUAUGCAACUGUUCCCUUGUCAAACUGCCAAAGUUCCAAGAUAUGAUGAUUGUUAAAAGGUAAUGGAGUUGUUGGCUUCUAACAACUCUCAAAACUUGAGGCAUUUUUGGAUGGUGGACAGAAUGGUUUAUUCUUUAUUCAACUCUAUUUCUUUUCUUUGAGUUGUAUCUUUUGCUGUUGUCAGUUUCUAAAUUUAAUUUCAGAAUCUUUGGGGCACCUUUAUAAUGACUACUUGCAUUAAAUAUUAUAUGGCAUGACCAGAUUCAAGUUGAUAUGUUGGUAGGAGCCUCCCUAACGAUUAUCUCAGUGCUUGUCUCUGCUUAGUUUGCGUGGACAAAAUCCUCCAUGAAUUAAUUUCCAAAGAAAGGAAUUGCUUCUCGGUGAUUCCAUCCCCAAUCUUAUAAUAAAGAAAUCCGAAACCCAAAAGUCUGAUCUUGCGGCUGAUUGAUUUAACAAAACUAGGUACCUCUUUGUAUCCUCGAUUAAUCUUUUCAUAUAUAUGUGAGUGUGUGCGCGCGCACUUAACUUCUGUGAUGAGGGGAAUUGGGUCCCUAAUUAAGAUUGCAAUUAAUCAGAUGCUCAAACCAUGUAAAAUAACUCAGCUGAUUAGUUGAUAAAUUUUUCAAUUUUUUGACUGGGUCUUUGCCCUCCAGUUCCAGAUAUAUAAACACUUUUGAAGAAUCAACAAACUUAUGUCGACCUUAAUCCCAAAGCCAUGGCUUCUCUCCAGCAAGCCCAGGUUUACGUCCUUUCCAAUUCCUUUUAUAUGUUACAAAAAUAUCCUCUUUGGCUCAUACAUGUAGUACAAUUAAUUACAUGUUACAAAAACUAUUGAAGGUAACAAAAGAAUUGGGAUUGGCAAUAGAGAAACUAAACAAUGUUCUUGCCCUUAUAGCAAAUGUUGGAAUCGAAAAUUUUUGAUCAGUCUAAAUGUUAGCUUCAGAUUCGUAAACUCACUAGCAACAUGACAUAUAGUCAAUAUUGAAUAACACAACAUGAGUAAAUAAUCAUAUAUAUGCUUGAACAAAGAUCGUUUCUUGAAAACUUGAGAUUUAUCUUUGGUAAAUGCAGUUUAACUUUUUGAAUUCACUGGUGGUAAAUUGACGGUUUUUUAAUUAGAGGUGGUUAAGUAUAAAAAAAUGCAAACCAUAUAAUUAGUGCUAUGUUACAAUUAAUAUGUGAUAUGUGUGUUUAGCUUAAACACUGGUUGCGCCUUAUAAUUGACUUGAAUUGGUGAAAUUGUGUCUUUUGAUUGUUUACCAAAGCUUUUUGGGAUAUUAGAUUCUUUCUGUUACGUACCAAGUGCUUUUCAUCUGUAAUAGAUUUUGAACUAGGAACUUUUGCUUUUACUGCUUAAAGUUGUGGAUUUAUGAUGAUGAUGAUGAUGAUAUAUAGACGAAUAAAGCCAUAAAAGUGGAAGUUCUCUCAUUCCAAUUAUAAGGUGCCAAAUUGUGCUAUUAAAUGCAUUCUUUCAACUGUAUAUUCGUGGAGAAUUUUCACUCUUUUGUAACAGGCGGUUUAAUAUCUUGCAGGGGGUCCUUUGGUACAAGACCGCAAUUUAAAUAUUAUUCUAGGACGUUUUAAUAUUGGCCUAUCCUUAAUUCUUUUACAUGUGCACUAGUCUAAGAUUAUGAAUUUAUCAUUGCAGUAUGUUUUUCAUUGGUGAGUGGAUUGGGUGGUCCUAAUCACUCUGGAAAGUUAGGACCUGCCCUACCUGACUAGGUAUGUGCAUACCCACAUAUUACUGAACAGAACAUGUUAUUAUCAAUGUGUUACUGUACUUGUAGUUUCACUUCUAUGAUUUCUAUAGCACUAAUUUGGGUUUUGGUGCCUGACUUUGAAGAACUUAGAUUCCUACUAACAGAAUCCAAGUUUAGAAAAGAACCAUGCAUAAAGAAAAAUAGUUAUCUAUUACAUGUGUCCAAAUUAUAAAGACUGGAUUUUGGAGUUGCAUUCUAUGACACUUGAUGGAACGUAUAAUUAGAUGAAUACAUCUGUGCACCAUUCAUCUGCUUUAUGUCAUUCUUCAAGUAGUCGGAAUUGUUAAGCUGAAUCUGUAACUAUGUUCUUGUGAAUACUUCUGGUUCUUAAAUUACUUUCCGUGCGUUGAUGCAGCUACUGUGUAAGAAUUCCCAGCCCCAAGCUGAGGAUGAGCACUAUAAGAAAACUAGAAGCAUGUUGGUAAGCCUUGGCCUCCAAAAUUACAAGAAGGAUUUCAAGAAGGGCUUGUUAACAGACGAUACUUUACCUUUGCUUACUGAUAGGCAAGCUGUUGAACUUGACUCAUUUCCUUUGGAUGUUCUCCAUAAUUUUCUAUUGUGUUUUCUUGUAUUCUCAUUGCCUGUCAUUUGCUUCAAAUUAGUGUUCUUCGAUAUGUUAGAAUACCUCCCGGACCAAGGCUCCUCAUUCUUGAUCACAUAAAGAGGUCUGACCCCUAGGCCAAUCUCAUGUCAGUAUUUAACUACAGCAUCCCGUUGAGAUUGAAUUUCUGUCUGAAGCUAAGCUCAAAGAAAGGUGAUGCGGCAUUAGUUGAAGUGCUGACAUUUGACUGGUCUGUUUCCAAAGGAGAUUUUAUUUUAUAAGUUAAAUAUUAAUUAAUCUGCUCUAUAUAGCGAGAAGGGAAAUUUUGUCAGUUUCUCUUUUACUGGAGUUCUUAUCAGUGUAACUGGUUACAAACUCAGUAGACAGCUCAGUUAUAGUUCUAAUAUCUUCAUACUCUUUCGUUUUUUUGGUUGUCAAUAUUCAUCUCAGUAGUUUUGAUUGCCAUGCAACAAAUAAAUGGUGAAUUAUAUGGAAGUAAAAAUGCCUUAAAUGUUGUGUACUUGUCAAUUCUUUGUUUUCAGAGAACGAGAAACAGGAAUUAAAUGAGCAUGCAUAAGGUUUGGCAGUUCGAUUGGGCACGAGUUCAGACGUUUAUUGAAAACCCUGAUUCUAUGGGGGUUUAAUUGAGAUGGUAAAGGGAUUGGGAUUAUGAGGAUUAGAUGUAGAAUGGGUUAGGGGUGGAGAGGUAUGAUAAGGUUUGGCAGUUCGAUUGACAGAGGGAAUGAAGAAGAAGCAAGUGACUGAAAUCCUUGUUUUAAGUUUAACCCAGCCGAUCGUGUGGCUUCAUCCCCCUCCGUGUUUUGUUAAUAAUUUUUUAAAGGGUUAGAUUUAUUUCAACUUUGGACGGUCCGGAUCUUUUAAUAGGCUGAGAGCGGGAAAUUAAUUUUUUUCAAAAAAA